UUGGCCUACGGGAGGCAGCAGUGAGGAAUAUUGGUCAAUGGGAGAGAUCCUGAACCAGCCAAGUCGCGUGAGGGAUGACGGUCCUAUGGAUUGUAAACCUCUUUUGUCAGGGAGCAAAGGGCGCCACGUGUGGCGCUUUGCGAGUACCUGAAGAAAAAGCAUCGGCUAACUCCGUGCCAGCAGCCGCGGUAAUACGGAGGAUGCGAGCGUUAUCCGGAUUUAUUGGGUUUAAAGGGUGCGCAGGCGGAAGAUCAAGUCAGCGGUAAAAUUGAGAGGCUCAACCUCUUCGAGCCGUUGAAACUGGU
rnacentral:rRNA from 1 species